GAUGAACGCUGGCGGCGUGCCUAAUACAUGCAAGUCGAGCGAACAGACGAGGAGCUUGCUCCUUUGACGUUAGCGGCGGACGGGUGAGUAACACGUGGGUAACCUACCUAUAAGACUGGGAUAACUUCGGGAAACCGGAGCUAAUACCGGAUAAUAUUUCGAACCGCAUGGUUCGAUAGUGAAAGAGGGCUUUGCUAUCACUUAUAGAUGGACCUGCGCCGUAUUAGCUAGUUGGGAAGGUAACGGCUUACCAAGGCAACGAUACGUAGCCGACCUGAGAGGGUGAUCGGCCACACUGGAACUGAGACACGCUCCAGACUCCUACGGGAGGCAGCAGUAGGGAAUCUUCCGCAAUGGGCGAAAGCCUGACGGAGCAACGCCGCGUGAGUGAUGAAGGUCUUCGGAUCGUAAAACUCUGUUAUUAGGGAAGAACAAACGUGUAAGUAACUGUGCACGUCUUGACGGUACCUAAUCAGAAAGCCACGGCUAACUACGUG
rnacentral:rRNA from 1 species